CGCCCGCCUCGUGCCCUGACAGGAGCCGCCGCUGCGCCCGCGGGCGCCCUUGACGCGGCGCCCCUCAUGCCCCCUCGAGAGGCGUUGGGGGGCAGCGAGACAACGCCGGGCCCCGCCCCUCACUCCGCGCUCGGCUUCAGGGCUGUCUUGCGAGGGGGCGGCGGGAAAAGGCUCUGAGGAGAAGCUCGCUCGCUGUCCCGCGUCGCUUUUCCUCACGUCGUUUUCCCUUUCCCUUGAGGGGACGGCGAGGUGAAGGGAGCCCGCUGCCUUCCUCCUCGCACGUGGCGAGUCGUCGGCGGAGGCAUCAUCUAGCUGCUGUUAGGAUUUUGAACCAACCAAAGCAUCAGGAAAUCAUUCUCUGCCCUCCAGCAUUUCUGUCCCCUUGUUACAACCUUCUUCUCAUCCCAAGGAUAACUGCUUGAGCAUCCACCCACCUAUUACAUAUUACUGAAGUCUCUUGAGGUGGCCGGCUGUGACUCGCAUCUUUGUGAAUCGACCCACUGCGUAGAAGAGUGAGUUGGGUGCGGACAAAAGUUCAGAGAGUGAAUUUCUGGUGAGAGGCCACAACAACGGAAGCAAGAUUCAAAAUCUGAAUGCAGGGAUUUCAUAGGAAGAGAUGCAGUCACCCUUCAAGGAAGUUUCAGUCUGCAAGUGAUUACUAGCUUAUUACAAAGUCUUUUCAGAUUCCCACAACUUGCAAUCACCUGGGAAAUACAAUGGUAUUUAAUAACUGGUAAAGUCUGGACAUACCUUCCCAGUAUGUUUAUUUUUCUGUAUAUCUUUUAUUCUCUCACCCAAAGCAGAUGUUAAGAUAUGGCGGCCAAGACACGCUGCCAGAAGAUAUCAGGUCAAAUCACUUAACUUUGUUUUGCUUCAAUCCCACAACUAAUUAAAUCACUUGUUUUUACAUUGAACCCUAAUAAAACACCGCUAGAUAGCUGCACUGUGAUCUCUUGGCCACACUUAUGAAAAAAAAAUAUGAGCACAUGGGAAAUCAACAAUGCAGACAAAGACUUCUAAAAUUCAUAUUUCAUACCAUAUGUUUCAUAUUUUUUUAACAGGAGAUUUUUAUCUGUCCUAAUGUGGCUAGUAGGAAUAAUUACUAUGGGUUUUUCUGGAAAUGCUAAAAUAAUUGCAGUGCAGUGAGAGGGGUAGAUGGGCUCUUAGUCUGGCACUGCAGUCUUUGAAUCUAUAAAGUUCCCUUGGAAAGAUUAUGGAAACCAAAUUCAGCAAGUCCUUUCUUACCCAUUCCACCCUUUGCAGCAGAGAAUUCAAGCAAGUUUAUAAGGCAACUGACGCAUUCAUUCAUUCAUGGGCUUUACCCACUGGCACAACCACCCACAAAUGGUUUCACUCAUAAGCAGCACAAACCGCAGUAGGAUUGUCGGAUACACAUUCCAGAGGGGAUGAGAUGUGAUUGGAAGGCACAAUAGAAGUUCCGCAGAAACCGUGCAGAUUAGCAUCAAAGUCAAACAAUCCAUGCCUCUUUCUAGCCCCAAUGGGAAUUUCGAACAGGUAAAAAGCAGAAUAGGUGAGAGAUGGAACUUUUGCAAAACUUGGGAAUACUUAUUUUUGGGAAAGGGGGGUAACGAAACCAGAAGAGAUAAGCCACUUGCUCAGGUGAUGGUCAAGGGCAGAAGUCAAGAACCUAUAGCCACCUCUACAUGCCCUCUCAUAUUCCCUGGUAUCUGGGCCAGGACUGUCCAUGUCAGGCUUCCUCAACCUUGGCCCUCCAGAUAUUUUUGGCCUACAACUCCCAUGAUCCCUAGCUAGCAGGACCAGUGGUCAGGAAUGAUGGGAAUUGUAGGUUGAGGAAGCCUGGUCCAUGUAGCUGCAACCUGUUUUUAGCCAAACGUCCCACAUCACUUUCCUCUGAUGUACAAGGUAUGCUACAAUCCUUGGGAUUCCAGAUUCUCAGCUAGACAACAGAACAGUCCUGGUUUAAGAAUACAUGAAUGCAUUGACAUUUUUUAAAAAAAUGUUUAUCUCUCUUCCAGACCUGUCUUGCAUGAAGUCAGGCCAUUGGUUCCACAUUGCCCAGUACAGUGACAGCAAAUGUCUUCCCCAGCUCUGCUACCUGAAAGACUUUUAACUGGAGAUGUCACAACUGAACUAUGACCCUUCCCCAGGAAUGACUCUUCUCGGUACUUUAAAAAAAUUGGGAAAAUGCGUAAGAAGGAAUGUAGCCUAAAAUCUGGGUCCUACCCACACACCCUCAGGAUGAGGCCCUCACCAUGAAAGACAUGUUGAACUGUGACAGCCAUGUUGAAACAAAGAUCCAGCAGCAGGAAGAGAACAAAGCAGCAUCUAAAGAGAUACGACACACAAAUAAAAGCUUGCCCAAAGUGUGUUGAUGCCAUAAUCCAAACCAUUCUCCUGCAUCAGAACAAGAUUUGGGGCGGCCAACACUGAACUGUGACUUCAAAUCCAAAGAUUGCAAUAUUGCACAAACUAACACUAAGUGAAUCUGCACCACUGAUUUGAGCUUAGUCCCAAAUACAUCCACCAAAGGCAGAGAAACAGAAACAUAAAUAUGGGCACCUGGCUAGCCAAGAGUCUACAGCUACAAUGCGAGUUUACCAGAAAAAACUGAAGUCAGCAAAAAGCGGAACAGAUACAACUUCACUUUAUAGCACUACUUCCUCUGAAUACUAAAUCAGCCCCAGCAAAUAGGCUACCCUAACCCCGAUCUGACCGAACACAAACAGGAAGUGGAUGCUGGGGGGUGAGCAGAACAUUCAAAACAAGCCAAUUUACAGACAAAGCGACAGAGAUAAGACUGAGAUGCUUUCUCCUCCAGUAUUCACAGGCUGAAGAAAAAGAUGAAUUGGAAUUGUGCCCAAUUUUGCAGAAGACAAAAUUCUACAAUGAGAAAUGGUAGUCACGUAGUGAUUUUUUACAGGACCCAAAAUGGAAGGAAAUGACAAUGACUUUGGGCGUGAUCCAGCCAGAAUAAGGUAUAUUUAAGUCCCAUUUAUUUCAGUGGAAGAGUUAAGCAUAUGCUUAUUUUAAAGCGAUUAACAGGCUGUAUUUUGCCCAUAACUUAGUCCUUGCCAACAAUAUAUGCUUCCUCUGAGGUGGGUCAGGUGGUACUUAUCUCUGGACCCAAUCCUUGAUUGAUACUUUUAGUGGCUUGUUCAUUUUGUAAUCUGUGGUGCACCAAUUGGACCAAAACAAAAGUAGAAGCAUAUGCCUUAAUUAAAGCAUGUAGCGUUGGAGCCAGACCUGAGUUAUUUUCACACAAUGGUACAUGUUCCUGAAUUAACCCUAUUUUCAUCUUGACAUCAUUAGUCCUUUCAAAUGCUUAAUUGUGCACGUUAUUGUAUAUAAAAUACUCAAUUUUAGAGCCAACACCUGACCUUUUAGGGCUGCAACUCUCAAACUCAAGAUUGUAUGAAACCUGCUAUUUCAUAUCCAAACACCAACAUUUUAGGAUUGAACCCUGAAAGUUGGGACUGGCAGAUAUGUGCAAUGACGUUACAUAGUUAAAAUCAAAUCCACUCUCUGAAUCUGCCCACCAAGAUGCCAUAUGUAUAUCAGAUUUUGGAAUUCUGUAAAAUAUAUGGUUGAGGCAUAAAUGAAUAAUUAAACUAGUCUCAUUUUUAUAUCCCUGAGUUUCAGAACUUCCAAAAGCCAGGUAUGAAGAUCUUACUAUCAAGAAUAACAUCAGGAGCUAGCCGGAAAAGGGAAAUAUGUAUUAUUGAGGAUAUUGAAUGAAUGGCUGCCUAAGCAAAGAUUUCUUAAGAGCCUCUUUCAAGAUCUUCCCACCAUAACCUUAAGGCUGGGAACAUUUAUCUUCAAUAGAAGCAACUGAGCAACAUGAACUGAUGCAAAUGCAAGUCCAGUUAUAAAGCAACCAGAGUAUCAGAUACCAGCUAAUGACUUGACAUUUCUGCCUCUUAAACACCCUCUUCCUGCGCCCUCAACCCAGCUUACACCACUAAUGGAAGAUGUGACCCAGCUAGCACUCUUUGUAUUAUAAUAAGUCUAUGCUAAAGCUAUACUGAGGGUGUAAGGUGUAGAAAUUCCAAUGAACACAUGGAGCUUCCCAAUUCGUAUUAGUGGAGGGAUGUAGGGCAUCAAACAACUGUGUUCAGACAAGCACUAGCUCUCGCCCUACAGAAAUAACUGGAGAUGCUACAUAGCAAUAGGCUUCUUGCACUGAAACAAUAGAAGGUAAAUGCUAAUUCCGUUUUGGUAGAACCUUGCUUAUGACUCAAUAGAUGUAUUGUUCUUUUUUUGACUCCAGUCUCAAACGCUGUCAUGACUCUUCAGUGCCACUGUGAAACCAAAGUUAAAGCAGUGCUCUUUUUUGCAGCUCCAGUGGCCUCUCUCUCCCACCUGGGGAGCACUUUCUUCCCCAACAUGGCCCAGGAAAAAGGCUACAUCACAAAACGGGACCCAUCCAAAAGAUGCAUUUUGAGGGGGGAAACGACAUCUGGGGGGGAAAAGGCUGUGGGAUAUCAAAUCCUCCUCUUUUCAAGGAAUCAGUGCUAGGCCAUGCAAAGAUGACAUAUGGGUUUCCUAGAGUGAGCCUCAAAUUUUGGAAUUCACAGAAUGCCUGGAAGUGGGUACAAAGUUACAGGAAGGAGUAUCAGCUAAAACAUGCCUCUACAAGGGCACUGACAAGCCUUAUGGAGGAGUCUUAUUGGCCUCAUUAUCCCAACCUGGUUUGGGAAGAGCUGCUUCUUGGGGUUAAUGGUACUUCACGGAAUCAUAAAGUUGUGAUUUUCCUGGUAUUAAGAGGGGUCAGACACGUCUCGUUCCAUUCAUCUUUCUAAUGCCAGUUUUAGAACAUUACCCUGAUCCAAAAUCUUUGCACUUGCCAGCAACGCAUGUCCUGCUUGCUCUGCUAUGGGAUAGAUUGUCGGGGCAGGGGCAAGAGAAGGCAAAACAAAUUUAGAAGAAGGGCUUGUUCAAAAGAGUUGAAGAAACUUGGUCUAAGACAGCCUUCCCAAUGAUGCUCUUCAUGAUGCAUCCAUGACAACUGGCCAUGCUGGCUGGGGCUGAUGGGAGUUUUAUUAUCACGAGCCUCUAACAUAUCUGCUGCUAUUGCUGCCAACGGUGGUCCAUGGCAGGCAGCAGCUGUGGAAGCUCUGGCUUGAUGAUCUGAGUCUGCAUUAAGAGACAGCCAAGAUGGUCUCUGACCUUUUCAGCAGCCUCAGGGCUUUUGUAGCUGGAGUCAGUCCAGGCCCCGCCCUCCCAGGCCAGAUAGGAAAAGGCAUGUAAGGCAGAGAGCUUCCAGGGCUCACAGCCAAGAUGGAUUUAAGUGUGAACUAACAGAACAAUCCUAACUCCCUGAUCAGGACUUCUAGAGGGGGUUAGGAUUAAGUGGAUGGCCCCUCCAUGGGAGUGGGACAGAUCACAGACAGCCUAG